GCGUGCUUAAACAUGCAAGUUCGAACGAUGAAGCCCUUCGGGGUGGAUUAGUGGCGAACGGGUGAGUAACACGUGGGCAAUCUGCCCUUCACUCUGGGACAAGCCCUGGAAACGGGGUCUAAUACCGGAUAAUACUCCUGCCUGCAUGGGCGGGGGUUGAAAGCUCCGGCGGUGAAGGAUGAGCCCGCGGCCUAUCAGCUUGUUGGUGGGGUAAUGGCCCACCAAGGCGACGACGGGUAGCCGGCCUGAGAGGGCGACCGGCCACACUGGGACUGAGACACGGCCCAGACUCCUACGGGAGGCAGCAGUGGGGAAUAUUGCACAAUGGGCGAAAGCCUGAUGCAGCGACGCCGCGUGAGGGAUGACGGCCUUCGGGUUGUAAACCUCUUUCAGCAGGGAAGAAGCGAAAGUGACGGUACCUGCAGAAGAAGCGCCGGCUAACUACGUGCCAGCAGCCGCGGUAAUACGUAGGGCGCAAGCGUUGUCCGGAAUUAUUGGGCGUAAAGAGCUCGUAGGCGGCUUGUCACGUCGGAUGUGAAAGCCCGAGGCUUAACCUCGGGUCUGCAUUCGAUACGGGCUAGCUAGAGUGUGGUAGGGGAGAUCGGAAUUCCUGGUGUANCGGUGAAAUGCGCANAUAUCA
rnacentral:rRNA from 1 species